rnacentral:rRNA from 1 species
UACGUAGGGGGCAAGCGUUGUCCGGAUUUAUUGGGCGUAAAGAGCGUGUAGGCGGCCGUACAGGUCAGCUGUGAAAACUCGAGGCUCAACCUCGAGACGUCGGUUGAAACCGUACGGCUAGAGUCCGGAAGAGGAGAGUGGAAUUCCCGGUGUAGCGGUGAAAUGCGCAGAUAUCGGGAAGAACACCCGUGGCGAAGGCGGGUCUCUGGACAGUUCCUGACGCUGAGGCACGAAGGCCAGGGGAGCAAACGGG